CCUACGGGAGGCAGCAGUGAGGAAUAUUGGUCAAUGGACGAGAGUCUGAACCAGCCAAGUCGCGUGAAGGAUGACUGCCCUAUGGGUUGUAAACUUCUUUUAUAAAGGAAUAAAACGAGGCACGUGUGCCUUUUUGCAUGUACUUUAUGAAUAAGGAUCGGCUAACUCCGUGCCAGCAGCCGCGGUAAUACGGAGGAUCCGAGCGUUAUCCGGAUUUAAUGGGUUUAAAGGGAGCGUAGAGGGGUUAUUAAGUCAGUGGUGAAAGUUUGCGGCUCAACCGUAAAAUUGCAAUUGAUACUGGCAGUCUUGAGUACAGUUGAGGUAGGCGGAAUUCGUGGUGUAGCGGUGAAAUGCUUAGAUAUCACGAAGAACCCCGAUUGCGAAGGCAGCUUACUAAACUGUGACUGACAUUGAUGCUCGAAAGUGUGGGUAUCAAACAGGAUUAGAUACCCGUGUAGUC
rnacentral:rRNA from 1 species